rnacentral:rRNA from 1 species
UACGUAGGCAGCAAGCGUUGUUCGGAGUUACUGGGCGUAAAGAGUGCGUAGGUGGUGCCCUAAGUCUGUUGUGAAAUCUCCCGGCUUAACUGGGAGGGUGCGGUGGAAACUGGGGUGCUUGAGUGUGGGAGAGGCGAGUGGAAUUCCUGGUGUAGCGGUGAAAUGCGCAGAUAUCAGGAGGAACACCGAUGGCGAAGGCAGCUCGCUGGGACGUGACUGACGCUGAGACGCGAAAGCGUGUGGAGCAAACAGG